CAAGUUUCCAGCACAUGAAUUUGGGGGAUAUGUUCAAAUCAUAGCAUGUUCCAAAUAAAAAAUGAAAUGAGUAUAUCCUUAUGAGGCUCGAGUUGAGGCCCCUGGGGAACCAGCAGUCAUGGAGGAAGGAGCUAGGGACUGCCACAUGGUGAGGCCAAUUUCACUCAGACUCACCGCUGGCUUGUUAGGACCAACUCUGUGAACCUUUUUUCUAAGACUUAAUUUUUCUCACCUAAAACAGCCAUGCCACCCUGCAUAGAGGUGGAGACUUGGGUGUACCUCUGUUGAAGACAGCCCUCUAGUGGUCUACAAGGGUAAGGCUUUCAGAUUGCAGCCCAAGUUAAUUUUUUGUGUCAACUUGGUCAGGCUAUGGUACCCAGAUAUUUGCUCAAACAGUAAACUAGAUGUUACUGUGAGAUUAUUUUUUUAAGAUGAGAUUAACAUUUAAAUCAGACUUUGAGUAGGUUGCCCUGUAGAGUGUGGGUGGGCCUCAUGCAAUCAGUGAAAGAUCUUGAGAUAAAAGACUGAGGACCCCUGCAGUAGAAGGAGUUCUACUUCUGGCCUGCUUUUGGACUUAACUGCACAUGAACCAAGUCCUUAAAACAAAUUUCUUUCUCCAUCUACAUAGGUGUGUGUGUGUGUGUGUGUGUGUGUGUGUAUGUGUAUGACUACUUAUACAUAUGUACAGUCAGACAUCUAUAUCUGCAGUUUCUUCACUUGCUAAACCAACCGUGAAUCAAAAAAUAAUUUUAAAAAAUUCCAGAAGGUUCUUAAAAGCAAAACUUGCAUUUGUAUGCAACCAGCACUAUACUGAAUCCACAUGAAUGCAGAGGUGUGUGGACACGUGUUCUGUAGCUCCUGCCAUUCACGGAUCCUCAGUCUGUCC
rnacentral:lncRNA from 1 species